rnacentral:rRNA from 1 species
GAUGAACGCUGGCGGCGUGCCUAACACAUGCAAGUCGAGCGAAGCACUUUGCUUAGAUUCUUCGGAUGAAGAGGAUUGUGACUGAGCGGCGGACGGGUGAGUAACGCGUGGGUAACCUGCCUCAUACAGGGGGAUAACAGUUAGACAUGACUGCUAAUACCGCAUAAGACCACAGCACCGCAUGGUGCGGGGGUAAAAACUCCGGUGGUAUGAGAUGGACCCGCGUCUGAUUAGCUAGUUGGUAAGGUAACGGCUUACCAAGGCGACGAUCAGUAGCCGACCUGAGAGGGUGACCGGCCACAUUGGGACUGAGACACGGCCCAAACUCCUACGGGAGGCAGCAGUGGGGAAUAUUGCACAAUGGGGGAAACCCUGAUGCAGCGACGCCGCGUGAGUGAAGAAGUAUUUCGGUAUGUAAAGCUCUAUCAGCAGGGAAGAAAAUGACGGUACCUGACUAAGAAGCACCGGCUAAAUACGUGCCAGCAGCCGCGGUAAUACGUAUGGUGCAAGCGUUAUCCGGAUUUACUGGGUGUAAAGGGAGCGUAGACGGAUGGGCAAGUCUGAUGUGAAAACCCGGGGCUCAACCCCGGGACUGCAUUGGAAACUGUUCAUCUAGAGUGCUGGAGAGGUAAGUGGAAUUCCUAGUGUAGCGGUGAAAUGCGUAGAUAUUAGGAGGAACACCAGUGGCGAAGGCGGCUUACUGGACAGUAACUGACGUUGAGGCUCGAAAGCGUGGGGAGCAAACAGG